AGCUUUUGGCAGUGGCAGUAUCAUAGCCAAUGAGGUUUAUCUGAGGUACGAUUAUUGCUAAUAGGCACAGAAAAAAUUUAUUAGAC
rnacentral:snRNA from 1 species